GUGCUCGCUCCGGCAGCACGUAUACUAAAGUUGGAACGAUACAGAGAAGAUUACCACGGCCCUGGGCAAGGAUGACAUGCGCAUUCGUGAAGUGUUCCAUGUCUUU
rnacentral:snRNA from 1 species